rnacentral:rRNA from 1 species
AUUGAACGCUGGCGGAAUGCUUUACACAUGCAAGUCGAACGGUAGAGGGGGCGACCCCUUGAGAGUGGCGAACGGGUGAGUAAUAUAUCGGAACGUGCCCAGUCGUGGGGGAUAACGUAGCGAAAGUUACGCUAAUACCGCAUACGAUCUAAGGAUGAAAGCGGGGGACCGUAAGGCCUCGCGCGAUUGGAGCGGCCGAUAUCAGAUUAGGUAGUUGGUGAGGUAAAGGCUCACCAAGCCAACGAUCUGUAGCUGGUCUGAGAGGACGACCAGCCACACUGGAACUGAGACACGGUCCAGACUCCUACGGGAGGCAGCAGUGGGGAAUUUUGGACAAUGGACGCAAGUCUGAUCCAGCCAUUCCGCGUGCAGGAUGAAGGCCCUCGGGUUGUAAACUGCUUUUGUACGGAACGAAAAGGUCUCUCCUAAUACGAGGGGCUCAUGACGGUACCGUAAGAAUAAGCACCGGCUAACUACGUGCCAGCCGCCGCAGUAA